GUAGGCGGCAAGCGUUGUCCGGAAUUAUUGGGGCGUAAAGCGCGCGCAGGCGGUUCUUUAAGUCUGAUGUGAAAGCCCACGGGCUCAACCGUGGAGGGUCAUUGGAAACUGGAGAACUUGAGUACAGAAGAGGAAAGCGGAAUUCCACGUGUAGCGGUGAAAUGCGUAGAGAUGUGGAGGAACACCAGUGGCGAAGGCGGCUUUCUGGUCUGUAACUGACGCUGAGGCGCGAAAGCGUGGGGAGCAAACAGGAUUAGAUACCCUGGUAGUCCACGCCGUAAACGAUGAGUGCUAAGUGUUAGGGGGUUUCCGCCCCUUAGUGCUGCAGCUAACGCAUUAAGCACUCCGCCUGGGGAGUACGGCCGCAAAGGCUG
rnacentral:rRNA from 1 species